rnacentral:rRNA from 1 species
AAAGCGAGCGGCGGAUGGGUGAGUAACACGUGGGGAACCUGCCCCUAAGUCUGGGAUACCAUUUGGAAACAGGUGCUAAUACCGGAUAAUAAAGCAGAUCGCAUGAUCAGCUUUUGAAAGGCGGCGUAAGCUGUCGCUAAGGGAUGGCCCCGCGGUGCAUUAGCUAGUUGGUAAGGUAACGGCUUACCAAGGCGACGAUGCAUAGCCGAGUUGAGAGACUGAUCGGCCACAUUGGGACUGAGACACGGCCCAAACUCCUACGGGAGGCAGCAGUAGGGAAUCUUCCACAAUGGACGCAAGUCUGAUGGAGCAACGCCGCGUGAGUGAAGAAGGUUUUCGGAUCGUAAAGCUCUGUUGUUGGUGAAGAAGGAUAGAGGUAGUAACUGGCCUUUAUUUGACGGUAAUCAACCAGAAAGUCACGGCUAACUACGUGCCAGCAGCCGCGGUAAUACGUAGGUGGCAAGCGUUGUCCGGAUUUAUUGGGCGUAAAGCGAGCGCAGGCGGAAAAAUAAGUCUAAUGUGAAAGCCCUCGGCUUAACCGAGGAACUGCAUCGGAAACUGUUUUUCUUGAGUGCAGAAGAGGAGAGUGGAACUCCAUGUGUAGCGGUGGAAUGCGUAGAUAUAUGGAAGAACACCAGUGGCGAAGGCGGCUCUCUGGUCUGCAACUGACGCUGAGGCUCGAAAGCAUGGGUAGCGAACAGGAUUAGAUACCCUGGUAGUCCAUGCCGUAAACGAUGAGUGCUAAGUGUUGGGAGGUUUCCGCCUCUCAGUGCUGCAGCUAACGCAUUAAGCACUCCGCCUGGGGAGUAC